GACGAACGCUGGCGGCGUGCUUAACACAUGCAAGUCGAACGGUAAGGCCCUUCGGGGUACACGAGUGGCGAACGGGUGAGUAACACGUGGGUGAUCCGCCCUGCACUUCGGGAUAAGCCUGGGAAACUGGGUCUAAUACCGGAUAGGACCACUGCCUGCAUGGGUGGUGGUGGAAAGCUUUUGCGGUGUGGGAUGGGCCCGCGGCCUAUCAGCUUGUUGGUGGGGUGAUGGCCUACCAAGGCGACGACGGGUAGCCGGCCUGAGAGGGUGACCGGCCACACUGGGACUGAGAUACGGCCCAGACUCCUACGGGAGGCAGCAGUGGGGAAUAUUGCACAAUGGGCGCAAGCCUGAUGCAGCGACGCCGCGUGAGGGAUGACGGCCUUCGGGUUGUAAACCUCUUUCAGCACCGACAAAGCGCAAGUGACGGUAGGUGCAGAAGAAGGACCGGCCAACUACGUGCCAGCAGCCGCCGUAA
rnacentral:rRNA from 1 species